GAUGAACGCUGGCGGCGUGCCUAACACAUGCAAGUCGAGCGAUUCUCUUCGGAGAAGAGCGGCGGACGGGUGAGUAACGCGUGGGUAACCUGCCCUGUACACACGGAUAACAUACCGAAAGGUAUGCUAAUACGAGAUAAUAUGCUUUUAUCGCAUGGUAGAAGUAUCAAAGCUUUUGCGGUACAGGAUGGACCCGCGUCUGAUUAGCUAGUUGGUAAGGUAACGGCUUACCAAGGCGACGCUCAGUAGCCGACCUGAGAGGGUGAUCGGCCACAUUGGAACUGAGACACGGUCCAAACUCCUACGGGAGGCAGCAGUGGGGAAUAUUGCACAAUGGGCGAAAGCCUGAUGCAGCAACGCCGCGUGAGCGAUGAAGGCCUUCGGGUCGUAAAGUUCUGUCCUCAAGGAAGAUAAUGACGGUACUUGAGGAGGAAGCCCCGGCUAACUACGUG
rnacentral:rRNA from 1 species